GCAAGUCGAACGAGAUCUUCGGAUCUAGUGGCGCACGGGUGCGUAACGCGUGGGAAUCUGCCCUUGGGUACGGAAUAACUCAGAGAAAUUUGUGCUAAUACCGUAUAAUGUCUUCGGACCAAAGAUUUAUCGCCCAAGGAUGAGCCCGCGUAGGAUUAGCUAGUUGGUGAGGUAAAAGCUCACCAAGGCGACGAUCCUUAGCUGGUCUGAGAGGAUGAUCAGCCACACUGGGACUGAGACACGGCCCAGACUCCUACGGGAGGCAGCAGUGGGGAAUAUUGGACAAUGGGCGAAAGCCUGAUCCAGCAAUGCCGCGUGAGUGAUGAAGGCCCUAGGGUUGUAAAGCUCUUUUACCCGGGAUGAUAAUGACAGUACCGGGAGAAUAAGCUCCGGCUAACUUCGUGCCAGCAGCCGCGGUAAUACGAGGGGAGCUAGCGUUGUUCGGAAUUACUGGGCGUAAAGCGCGCGUAGGCGGUUUUUUAAGUCAGAGGUGAAAGCCCGGGGCUCAACCCCGGAAUUGCCUUUGAAACUGGAAAACUAGAAUCUUGGAGAGGUCAGUGGAAUUCCGAGUGUAGAGGUGAAAUUCGUAGAUAUUCGGAAGAACACCAGUGGCGAAGGCGACUGACUGGACAAGUAUUGACGCUGAGGU
rnacentral:rRNA from 1 species